ensembl:lncRNA
GAGAGAGAGGGCUAUCGCUGUAGUUUGCAGGUGUCGGAAACGGGCUAACAGAGAAAACUUAAGACGUUAAAAAUACACCGCGGAUUACAGCGCGAGGACCGAAACAACCGCAGUGACAGAACGCACGCGCCGGUGUGCGUGUUGACUCCAGCACACACUCAUCCCUUAACCCUACGGAAGGUGACUGCCAACUUCACUCACACAGCAGCAGGACCCGGGAUACCCGAGCACAGGCGCGCACACACGCACACACACCACGUUCACACACGCAGAGGAGGAAUUCGUCGACGCAGCAGAGGCGUGUGGGCAUCGGAACGCGCUCAGACGCACCACACUACGGGCUCAAUGUGGACGUGGUGACGAGACGCUGUGCCAAGGUUCGGUGUCCUCGAGUCGGACGUCUAUCCGAUGGUUUAACUGGGAUUCCCUCUGGACCUCUUCUUCCCCAACCCCCCACACCAGCACCCCGAACAGAGGAGGAGCGACGAGGAUUGUUCCUGAGGUCUUUUACUCUGGAGAACAGAUCAACUCUGCAUCCAAAGAGGGUCGAUAUAUUAAACCAGGCGGGACCCUCUGUGGACGAGGACCCCCAAAGGAUACACGCCCCCAGAGUUGAGACCCCAGAAAACGUCAUCAUAUCCAUUCAUCAUUCAACCAGUCCACCUUUGUUUUCUCUCAUCAGCAACGGCUAACCCUGCGGUAGUCAUAGCAACUGCCUCCCUGAGGUAGCCACAGCAACCAUACUCCGUGUUGAUGAUGGAUACAACCCUAAGGAUAACAGACCAUUUUCUGGGAUCUUCAACACCUGGAUAUGGCACCGAUUAGUCCGCCUCAACCCAGGCUCUUGAAUACCUAUUCUUAAAUCUACCCGGGUAGAAUCAGAGAUCACCAAUCUUUAGAGACUACAAAUGUAAAGAAUCUGUUCAUUUCUCACUUCAGUUUUUUAGUACAGUUGUACAAUUGAAGUUAAAUAUCUGUGCUGACAUGAUUUACAAGCCGGGAACUAAAUGAACGAACCCUGAAGGUUUAUCCCGAAAUAGAAAGCUGAACCUUUUAUCGUUGGCUGUUCAAGGCCUUCCGUCGUCCAAAUCAUAAUUUCCAGAGUAUAUUAGAACAGAGAUAUAAAUGUAUUUUUCCCAUGAACGCUGAUGCACUCAGUCAACUGAAAUGGGACAAGAGAGGACAAGCAGCGGAACAAACCGCUUGUGACAACUGAGUAAGAGGACGACGAGAUCGGGGAUCUGUUCAGACGCGACCGAGCUGGGGGAAAAGCCCUGGACUGGGCUCCAGCAGAGCGAGCAGGGCGUUUUCACUUCGCCAUGGUCUUGGUCUGCAUCUGCGGGCUUGAGAGCAAGGCCUUCAAUAAGGGAAAAAUUAAAGAAUUGGAUUAAAGGAUGGAUUAUAGGCGCGCCACUAAAUCCCCGACCAGCUGCUUCUGCGUGAACCAGUGAACCAGAGAGAGAGAGAGAGAGAGA